GUGCAGCAGCCGCGGUAAUACGGAGGGUGCAAGCGUUGUCCGGAAUCACUGGGCGUAAAGGGUGCGCAGGCGGGGCAGCAAGUCGGAGGUGAAAGCCCAUGGCUUAACCAUGGAAGUGCCUUCGAAACUGUUGCACUUGAGUCCCGGAGAGGCUGUCGGAAUUCGUGGUGUAGCGGUGAAAUGCGUAGAUAUCACGAGGAACACCAGAGGCGAAAGCGGACAGCUGGACGGGUACUGACGCUCAGGCACGAAAGCGUGGGGAGCAAACAGGAUUAGAUACCCCUGUAGUC
rnacentral:rRNA from 1 species